rnacentral:lncRNA from 1 species
UGUGUUUGUGCUCGUAGAUCCAAGUCCUUCACUUGGUAGAGUCUAGGAGUUGAAAAAUCCUUCAUGUUUCUCACAGUGUGUCCUGCUCAUAGAGACAAGGCAGAGAUGAAGUGCAUGGGUCCUGUUGGUGGAAAACACCAACAGAACCAAAAGUAUAUUUAUUCUUCUCUAUCCUUAAGCAUAGGGAGCAAGACAAAGUUGAUGGGUGAUAAGUUCAUGAGUGUAGCAUUUAAAACAUUUGUCAGAUCAGAUCGCUCAACCUUAUGGAAAGAUAAUCUAUCUAUGUAUAUGUCUUUUUCUUUAUAUCUUCCCAAAGAUUGAAUGUGCAACAGUCUAGCUCAUAUGAUUAGGAGUGUG